CCAAUAGCGUAUAUUAAAGUUGCUGCAGUUAAAAAGCUCGUAGUUGAAUUUCGGGACCAAUAUGUCGGUCGUGCUUCGGUACGUACUGUCAUAAUUGGUUUCUCCCUUCUGAAGAACCUUGAUGUCAUUAAUUUGGUGUCUUGGGGAAUCAGGACUGUUACUUUGAAAAAAUUAGAGUGUUUAAAGCAGGCUCGCGCUUGAAUACAUUAGCAUGGAAUAAUGAAAUAGGACGUUUGAUUCUAUUUUGUUGUUUUCUAGGAUCGACGUAAUGAUUAAUAGGG
rnacentral:rRNA from 1 species